rnacentral:piRNA from 1 species
UUCAGCUAAAUCGGAUGUCUUGAUCCA